GAAUACUCAAGAUGAAAGGGAUGUAUUGUUAAGUGUUGUGAAAUGGGUACUUUGAACAGGUAUGUACUUAACCCUCGGGUUGAAAAAUCGAUAUAACAACAAUAUGGUAAGAUGAUAAAUGAAAAUGUGAUAUGAAUGUCUUGGUGAUGAUUAUGCAAAUGAUGUUUUAUGUUUGCUUAUAUGGUUAUGUUACUUGCUAUUUGCAUGUGAACUUAUUAAGC
rnacentral:lncRNA from 1 species